CAGCCGCCGCGGGAACACGUAUGGUGCGAGCGUUAAUCGGAAUUACUGGGCGUAAAGCGUGCGCAGGCGGUUAUAUAAGACAGAUGUGAAAUCCCCGGGCUCAACCUGGGACCUGCAUUUGUGACUGUAUAGCUAGAGUACGGUAGAGGGGGAUGGAAUUCCGCGUGUAGCAGUGAAAUGCGUAGAUAUGCGGAGGAACACCGAUGGCGAAGGCAAUCCCCUGGACCUGUACUAACGCUCAUGCACGAAAGCGUGGGGAGCAAACAGGAUUAGAUACCCGCGUAGUCCCUGUCUCUUAUAC
rnacentral:rRNA from 1 species